ensembl:lncRNA
GCACCAAUGGGUUGGAGACAGCUCUAGCCCGAAUGUCCAACUGUAUAUGUGCUACAGAGGAAGAGCUAGAGAAGUUAUGGAGAUCUUUAACAGAUGCCAGAAAAAAGUUGGAUUAUACACACAAGGAACAACACCACCCAGGAGAAAGAGGCAGAAAAAUAUGAAUCUCAAGACCAUCCUAUGGAUUUCUCUGGACAGUCUGAAUCCAUAUCAGAGGAAAGAGAACCUCAUAGGAAGAAAAGCAGUGUCAACUCACCAGACUCCCCAGAGUUCCCAGAGACUACGCCAAAAAACAAGGAGCCCUCAUGGGCUCAUUUGUGGUCUCAGGUACAUGAGUCUCAGAGAUCGGCCUUGUAUGUAGUCCUUGGGAAAGAAUGUGCUAAAUCCCGUUGAACUUUGAUGCCAAAAGGAAGAGGAUGCUUUCAUCAUAAAUGCCGAUAUGCUAUACACACAAGGAACAACAGAACCCAGGAG